CCCCAGAUGUUGCUGAACUACAACUCCCAUGAUUCUCUGAAUUACAUAGAUAGCCAGAGAAUCAAAGGGAGUUGUAGUUCAGCAACAUCUGGGG